ensembl:lncRNA
UCUACAAAGAAAAAAAAACAACCUGGAGGAAAUGAGACUGAACAUCACCAAACAAAUUGAUGAUCUUGAAAAUGAGAAAGAUAAAAUAAAACUCAGACAAGAUGAACUAGAGCAACUACAAGCAGAGAUUCAUAAACAACAAAGUGAAAUGAAAAAGGAAAAGAACAACAUUGAAAGUGAAAGAGUUGCAGUGAUCCGGGAAAAACAGGACAUGAUGACUGAGCUGAGAAAGAAGUCUGAAGAUGUUGAGCUUCAGAUGAAGGAGCUAUUGACUAAUCAGGAAAUAUUGAAAAAUGACAAACAACUGCUGAAGAGAGACAUGGAAGAUCUGCAACAAAAACUAGUUAAUGUAGACAGAGACUCAGAGAGUCUGAAACAUGAGAGAGAAGCUUUGGAGAAUGAGAAGGAAGUAAUAAAAAAGAUCAAAACUGACCUGCAAAGAGAGACACAAGAGUUCGAGAAGAUCAAACUACAAACACAAGAUGAAAGACAAAAACUGGAGGAAAUGACAGCUCAACUCCAGAAAGAGAGGAAAGAAAUCAGUGAUCUCAUGGAGGAAAUUAAAAAGAAGGGAGAUAUUCUGGAUGAAAGCUAUACUGAAAUACAAAGGGAACAAGAAGCAAUGGAGAGAGGCAAAGACUUGAUUAGAAGGGAACGGUCUGACCUAGAGAAAACUAAAGCUGAGAUGUCUCAAACCAAGGAAGAGCUUGAAAAACAGAUUUCUCAACAAAAAACAAACAUUGAGAUCACACUGGCAGAGAUGCAUCAAGAGAGAAACAUGCUUGAACAGAUGACUGGGAAUAUAAGAAGAGAAAAAAUGGCACUUGAAGAUGAAAAGCAAGAGUUGCAAAUAGAAAAGGAAGAUCUUGAAAGAAUGCGGGCAGACAUCGAACGAAAACAAGAAAAUAUUGAUCACCUGAGAUUUGGCAUAACAGAAGAGAGUCUACUUGAGAAGUCAGAGGCUAAAAUGUUUCUUCAAAAGAGUGAGGUGGAUGUAGUCAAAUCUUUAACAGACAAAGAAAUGUCAGAUCCAGAUGGGAAAUGUGUCUUGAUGGAGCAGAUGCUGGAAAUGGACUUAAAAGAUGCAUUAGAAACAGAUGUUGAGAGCCAAAAGUCAGACUUACCUGAGGCUGAGGAUUUACCUCAUAAACAGGAGAUGAUGUUAGAGAAGACGUUUAUUGAAGAUGAAAAGGACAAACUGGAACAGAUGAGAGCUGAACUGCAAAGGGAAGCUGAACACAUUGAAAAGGAAAAGCAGGACAUGCACAAUGAAAGACAGAAGCUAGAAGAAAUGUCAGCUCAACUUCAGGAAGAGACAAGAAAUCUUGAAAGCCUUAAUGAGGAGAUUAAUGUUCAAAAAUGUAAUCAACAAAAGCAAGCAUCUGAGUUUGAAAUGGAGAAGACUGAUUUAGAGAAAAUAAAAACAGAAAUUGCUAAAGCCAACAAACUUCUUGCAGAACAGCAAGAAAGGAAUGAGAUGACAAUAAAAGAGAUGCGGACAGAGAGAGACGCUCUUGAAGAAAUGAGGGCGAACAUCUCAAAACAAGUGGAUACUAUUCAAAAAGCGAAUGAAAGCCUUUCUCGCAGAGAAAGUGAACUUGCUAAGCUGCAGGAAACCAUUUUACAACAACAGGAUGAAAUGGAUGAACUGAAAAACACAAUUAUGAUGGAAAUGAGUCAACUGGACCAGAGACAAACUGACGUUGAUCUAUUACAGCGAGAGGUUGAUGAUCUAAUGGAAUUCACAAAGACAGAAAUGACCAACGUAGAAAGAGAUAGAGUGGAAAUGAUGGCACAGAAGAGAAAUGUAGAGAGAGAGAUGGUCAGUCUAGAGGAAGAAAAGGAGACCUGUGAACAACUGAGACUAAAAUUACUGGAGGAAAAGGAUCAGGUUGAAAAAGACAGAGAGGCGUUGACCAAAAAUUUGGAUCUUAUGGAGAGGCAAAAAAUGGAUAUGGAGAAAGAAUUAAAGAAUCUAAAACUUGAGAAACACACCUUUGAAAAUGAGAAGGAGGAACUAGAGAGGAUGAAAAGCGACCUUCAAAGACAAGCUGAAGACUUGGAUAAACUAUCUGAGAAGACAAAGAAUGAAAGAUGGAGGGCAGAAGAGAUGGCAGCCAAAUUUAAAAAGCAAUUAGACGUCAGUGGUAUUCCAGCGAACUACCAACAGGCGGAAGAGCUCAUGGAUGAGACAGAGAAACAAAGAAAGGAUAUUCAGUCUGCCAAAGACUUGCUUCAAGAAGAAAGAUCUGAGCUGGAGAAAACCAAGGCAGAGAUAAACCAAGCCAUGGAAGAACUAGACAGACAAAGAACUGACUUACAGAGAGAUAAAGACAUUCUGAAGCAAAUGAGUACAGAUAACUUGAGACAAAUAGCUCAAAUUGAAGAUGAGAAGGAACAAUUACAACACAAAGAGAAUGAACUAGAACAAAUGAGAACAGAACUUCAAAAUAAACAAAAAGAAAUGGAUGACAUGAAAAGCAACAUAAUAAAAGAAAAGGAUGAUUUUGAGAAUCUGGAACAAAAGAGAGCCGAGUUGGCUAGAGACUUGGAAAACCUCCAAAAUAUGAAACAAGCUUUUAAAAAUGAACAAGAUGAGCUGGAAAAGAAGAGAGAGGAUAUUAAGAAGUUAAAGCUAGAAGUUCAGAAAGAAGGUCAGUGGACUGCAGAAGAGUUAGAAAAAGAGAGACAACAAUUUGUUAAGGAGAUCAAAAUGAAAAAUGACACCCUGGAUGAAAUACAAGCUGAGAUACAAAGACAAAAACAAGCCAUUGCUGUAGACAAAGCAAUUGUUACAAAGGAAAAGAUGGAUCUGGAAAAAACCAAGGAAGAUUUCAAAAGACAAUCCGAGGAGAGUGACAUCAAACGUGCAGACCUGCAGAAAAAGCGAGAUAGUCUUGAUCAGAUAAGUGUGGAGAUCUUAAAGCAAAUACAUGACCUGGAGAGAGAAAGAGGUGAACUGUUAGAGCAGCGUCAGCUGAUGGAGACACUAAAGAAAGACAUUGAAAAUGUGGAACAGCUGAGGAAAGAGCUUUUGGAUGAAAAGGAAUUGACUGAGAAAAGCAGAACGCAACUGAAACGAGACAUAGAUGAUAUGGAACAAAAUAAAUCAAAUCUACAUAAAGAAUUAGAGGAGAUAAAAGUUCAAAAACAGGAUAUUCAAGAUGAAAGAAUUCAACUAGAGCAAAUGAAAGCUAAGUUAGCAAAAGAAAGAAAAGCAAAUGAUGAAAUGUUGAGAGAGGCUACAAAAGAAAUGGAGAAAUAUGAGGAGAUCAAAUCAAAUAUUUUAAUCCAAAAAGAAGAGUUUGAGACUAAAAGACAAUCACAAGUAGAGGAACUCAUUGGUAUGAGAGCUGAAAUACUCAAACAGAAAGAUGAAUUAGAGGACAAGAUGCAAAAGACUAAACAUGAGAUGAAAGAAUUGAAGCUUCUUCAGGAUGAAACUGAUAGCAUGAGGAAAGAUCUUGAUCACAAGAUGAGACAGGCAGCGAGAAAGAGAGAUGAGCUGGAGAAAAUGAGAGCUGAUAUUGAAAGUGCAAAUGAGAAACUGGAAAUGGACAGAGUCAUGUUAAGUAUAGAGCGUGAGGACAUGGAGCGAAUAAAAGCUGAGAAACAACGAGCAGGAGAGGAACUACUAUCUCAUACGGAAGAAAGAGGUGGAGAUCUGGAAGAGAAAGAACAAAUAAACACCAAGAUACUGAGGCUUAUUCAAGAGGCUGAAAAGACUAGGGAAAUGGCCUGGAGAACAAAACAUGACCUGGAAAGAAGCAUGCAGAGAGAUGUUAAUGUUCAAGCGGAUUCAGAGGAAAGGCAAGAAAUGAGUGCUUACAUGCAGAGGCUGAUCCAGGAAAUUGAACAUGUCAGAGAGGUUCUCAGAAGAAUGAAAGAUGAAGUCAAGGCUGCUAGAAAUGAACGAUUUGAACUGGAGAACAUGAGGCUGGAAGUCGAAGCCAUGAAACAUAGCAUGAAGGAAACCUAUGAGCAACAGAACAAGGAGAUACAAAAAGAGAAGCAGCAAAUUGAGAGUACCAAAGACUUGUUGAGCAAAGAGCGAAGUGAUCUUGAGCAAAACAGAGCUGAUUUGGAGAGACAAAAACAAGAAAUGGCAUUGGACAAACAAAAACUUCAUGACGAAAAUGAACUUCUGAACAAAGAAAUCGUUGACAUGAAGCAGCAAUAUGAAAUUCUCAAAAACCUUCUAGAAGAAACAACUAGAGAAAACACAGUACAAACAGUUAAACAUUCCAGAAAAGAGAAAGAAAUGAGGAGAGAUUCAGAGGAAUUAAGGAAGAAAAUGGAAUCAUUAAGCAUGGAUGACCAGCAAGAAGAGAGUGAGAGUCAGACAGAUGAAAUUAACAGACAAAUAGACAAACUAACAGAGUUGAAGGCUGAGCUGGAUAAACAGCAGGUAGAACUUCAGAAAACUAAAGCAGGCUUAAAACAUCAGAUGGAUGAGCUAGAAAACAUGAGGUCUGAGAUAUUACAACAUGAAAAGGACACUAGAGAGGUGGAGCUGAUGGAUAUACAGAGACAGAGAGAAGUCCUAGAAACAAGGAUUCAGAAAAUGAUGCAUGAGAAGGGAGAACUGGAAGUCUUAAGGUCUGAAAUAUUCCUAGAAAAGAAAGAUCUGGACCAGAAGAUGAAACAAGUGAUAAGAAAGAGGGAUGAGGUGGAGAAAAUGAAGACUGAGAUAGCAAAGGAAAGAGAGGAGAUCAACAGAGAGCGGCAGGAGCUGGAAAUACUCAGAAAUGAUGUUCAAUGUGCAAGAGAGGAUUUUGAGCUAUUGGUGGAGAAAACUGUGAAUCUAGAAGAUGAGGAAAGCACCAAUGCUGACAUCCAAAGACUAAUUUUAGAGGUUGUAAAAAUCAGGGAAAUGGUGAGAAAUCUUAAAGUUGACAUGGAGAGCAGGAUGGAGGAAAGUAAGUUGGUGAGAGAUGAAAAGGAAAACUUCAAGUCUGAGAUCCAGAGGCUCAUUCAAGAUAUUGGACAAAUACGGGAAAAUCUUGGAAGCCUUAGAAAAGAGAUAGAAACCACCAGAAGAGAUAAGAAUGAAUUGGAGAAGAUGAGAGCAGAACUUGCAGAAAAGCAACAGGUGGAAGAGAACAUGAGAGAAAUGCUGCAGAAAGAAAGAGAAGAACUGGAGCAGUUGAAGGAUGAGAUAAACAGAGAAAAGGAGGAUGUGGAGACCAAAAGAGAGCUGGUUAAGGUAGAAAUAGCUAAAGAAAUAAUGGAAGAGUUUAAGGAUACAAGAAAGAACAAGGAAGAACUGCAAAUGGUCACUAAGGAACUCUUGAGAAACAAGCGUGAUCUGGAACAGCUCAACAGAGACAUACAAAACCAAUGGCAAACCAUGGAAGACAUGAAAACCCUGCAUGAAAAGAAAAAGGCUGAACUGGAAGGCAUUACUUCUGAAGUAAAGAGGGGAGAGCGGAUACUGGAGAAGCAGAAACAUGAGUUGGAAGAGAAAAGUUGGAUUGUUGAAGAAAUGGAGAAAAAGAAAGAUACACUUGAAAAGAUCAACAUGGAAAUACUGAGGAAGCAAGAAGAUAUAGAAAAAGAAAUGGACAAUUUAAGGCAAGAGAAGCAAGAGCUGGAGCUCUCUAGAAGUGAACUACAGAGACAGAGAGUUGAUGUUGAAUCUUCAAAACAUGCUUUGAUCAUGGAGAAGGAUCGGUUCAAAGAUGAACAAGCUGAAAUCAAUCAACAAAGGCAUGAAGUGAGUGCUGCCAUGAAGGCUUACGAUGUGGAACUGAAAAAUCUAGAAAAGACGAGGAAUGAACUAGAAAACGAGAGGGCUAAACUUGAUGAAAAACUCCAUGAUGCUACAAAAAUGGAGGAGAAACUACAGGAGAUGAAGAGUGAACUAAACAAAGAAAAAGAGCAAGUGGAAGAAAUGAAGCAGAUGGUCAGCACAGAGAGACAUUUGAUUGAACAAGAGAAUGCUGAGCUUCAGAAGAAGUCAGAGAUCACUGACAGACUCAUUCAGGAAGCAAACAACGAGAGGGACAGAUUAACAGACCUCAGUUUAAAACUUCAAACACAAAGAGAAGAUAUAGAGAAUAUCAUCACCGAAAUAGAGACCAAGAAGAAAGAUCUCAGUAUAAUGAGUGCAAAACUUCAAGAUGAUAAGAUACAACUGAAAAACGACAGAGAUGUUUAUGAAAGGGAAAUGACAUAUCUGCAGCUUAAGAGGGAAGUGUUAGUGAGAGAAACAGAGGACCUGGAAAGAAAAGCCUUACAGCAGAAAGAACAAGAUGAGAUGGCGAAACAAGAGAUUCAAAAUCACAAAGAGGCUCUAGAGCAAAUGGAGGUGGAUAUUCUGAAGGAAAGAGAUGAUGUUGACAAAGAGAAGAAAACUGUACAUUCAGAAAAACAGAAACUGGAUACACUUCGAGAAGAACUGCAAAGAAAGGAAAGUGAGCUUGAAAACAAAGUAAAAACUUUCAUGGAAGAGCAGCAGCAGCUAAAACAGAUUCAAGAUGAAAUGUAUAAAAUCAAGAAGGAGAUUCAAAGUAAUUUGGAAAGAAAGGAGGCCGAAAUUCAAGAGGAGAGACAGCGAUUAAUGGAAAUGGAUGAAACAAUUACAAGAGAAUGCAAUGAAUACAGAAAGCUGACUGAAGAAGUACAGAAAGAAAAAGAGCAGCUUGAAAUCAGCAAAAAGUUGAUGGAUCAAGAGAAGGCUGAACUUGAAAGCAUGAAAAAUGAUCUGGAGAAGCAAUUACAAAAUCUAAGACAUGAGAAACUGAAUGUACAAGAUGAGAAGAAUGCACUAGAACAAAUAAGAGCAGAAUCCAAAGAGAUUCAAAAUGUUAUCAAGAAGGAAAGAAAGGAUCAAGAGAAAUGCUGGCUGGAAAUUGAGGGUGAAAAGCAAAGAGUGGAGGAAGAAAUCAGACAAUUAGAGAGACAGAGGGAAGAAACUAACAAACUUCACAGUGAGUUGCAAAUAAUUAGAGAUGACAUUAAAAGUAAGAAAGAAAAUAAUGAUAAAGAAAUGGAAGAAUUAUUGCAAAUGAGGGUUGACCUGGAGAGAACAAAAGUAGAAAUCGAAAAGGAUAAUCAACGACUUCAAGAUGAUAAAUUUAAUCUUGAAAAGACAAAAGCUGAGAUAAAGAUACAAACAGAUAAAAUGAUAAUAAUAGACACCAACCUAAAGGAGAAAGAAAGAGAAAUUAAAGUUCUACUAGAUAAAGACAGAGAAGAAAUUAAAUGUUUGUCUGAGGAGACUGAAAUGAAAAUGAGGGAUCUUGAUAAGAGGAUAAAGGAGAUGGAGAGACAAAAGCAAGAAAUUGAGAAAACAAAAGUGAUGCUUGAAAAGGAAAAGACAGAAAUUGACAAAGAAAAGACAGAUAUUGACAACGAAAAGAAAGACUUGGAAAAACAAAUGAUGGGCCAGAUUGAGCAGAUACAAAAGGACAGACUGGCCCUUGAGGAGAUGAAGGAAGAACUUCUUCGUGAAAAACAAGAAACAGAGGAAGAGAGGGAUAACUUGAUGACGUUAAGAAACAAACUAGAAGCUUUAAGAGCAGAGAUAAAGAACAAGCAAAAUGAAAAUGAAAUUUUGAAGAACAAACUUAUUAUGGAAAAAUCAAGCAUUGAGGAACGGCAAGUCGAGGUACUCAACCAGCAGCGACAGAAUGAUCAAACCAGUGAGGAAAACAAAAAAGAGAGAGAAGAUCUGGAAAAACAGAGAUUUGAAACUGAACAGCAGAAACAGAUAUUGCAGCUUAACAUCAUAAAAAUGAAUGAAGAGAAGCAAAUACUUCAGAAGGCCAAAGAAGAAAUGGAAAACACAAAAUACAUGACCAACAAAGAAAGAGACAAGGUUGAACAAAUGCAAGCUGAAAUACACCAUCAGAUUCAGUCAAUUAAACUACAAAAGCAACUCAUGCAAGACAAGCAGAAUGCUCUUGAUGAAAAAGAGCUAAACAUACAGAGGAAGGAAAGGGAAGUAGAGAAGAGAAAUAUAGAAUUAGAUGGAAUUGCUGCUCAGCUUCACACUGAACAGGAACAUUUAGAUAAAGUUCAUGAGGAAACCAAUACGAGACAACAUGCCCUUGAAGAGAUGCAGGUUGAUAUAGAACUGCAAAAACAAGAAAUCAAUAAGGACUUUGAGUUGCUUAAGAAGAUACGGCAUGAAAUAGACAAUGAAAAUAUAGAAAUGAAGCGGAAAAAAGAUGAUCUGCAGAUCUGGACUACACAACAGAAAGAUAAGGUUCAAGUCCAGUUAGAAGAGCUAGAGAAAGAAAGAGAAAAACUGGAAAAAAUUAAGAUAGAGCUUCUUACUGAGAGAGAACAAACUGAAAAAGAGAAAGCUGAUAUAAAUAUAGUAAAUGAUGAAAUAGAAUCAAUGAGACAAAGAGUGAUAAUUCAGAAGACUGAGCUGGAGCAGAGAGAGAAAUAUAUUACUGAGCAGCAGCAAAGACUGGAUCAAAGUGUAAGAGAGAUAGCGGAAGAAAGAAGGGAAAUGGAUAAGUUGAGGACUGAACUAGAAGCUCAGAGACAAAGAAUGCAAGAGGACAUGAAGACUAUUGCAAAGCAGGAAGAAGAACUUUCACAACUGAGAGAUGAAAUACAAAGAGAAAAAGAAGACAUUGGUGAAAACAGGAACAUGAUUAACAAGUUAACGAAAGAUCUGGAAAUCACGAAAGCCAAGCUGGUGGAACAACAAGAAGUGAUCCAAACUGAAGCAGAAAAACUCCAAAAGGAAAGAAAACUGGUUGACCAGACAAAAUCUGAGAUGCAGAAUGAUGCUGAAAAUCUGAAAAACGUCUUAGAAGAGAUCAAAAGAGAGCAAGAAAAUAUGGAGAUAAGGGAGUCCCACCUUAAACAAAUGAUGGAUCAAUGUGCCAAUACCAUGGAAGAAAAUAAGAGGAAGAAAAGUGAACUAGAAAAGACUAUUGAUGACAUAGAAGAGCAAAAUCAACUGAUUAAGACUGAGAAAGACCAUCUGGAAAAAGAGAGAAAUAACAUUGAAAAGGAAAAAGAAGAAUUGCAAAGACGAGCUGAUGACCUGGAGAUGAACAUGACAGAACAAAAAGAAAAAGAAGAGAUGAGUAAAAGAUCAAUGCAUGAUGAGAAAAAGCUUCUUGAGGAAAAGGCUGGUGAAAUCUUGAGACAGAGAAAUGAAAUAGAGAAAGAAAAAGAGGACAUUAUGAAGAAGUGGAAUGAGCUGGAUGUUCUCCGGAAGACAUUAGAAAAACAAAGAGACGGAAUGGAAGAAAUCAAAUAUGAGUUACAGACUGAAAAGGCUGAAAUUAAUCAACAGCAGCAAAGCCUGGAGGAGAGUAUAAGAGCUGUGAAUGAGGAGAGAAGAGAUCUGGAGAAUAUGAGGAAUGAAUCUGAAGAAUAUAGACAACAAAUGGGAGUAAAACUAAAGAUGGAGAGAGAGGAACUUGAUCAGAUGAAGAGUGAUCUGGAAAGACAGAAAACUGAAAUAAAUCAUGAGCAGAAGAAAAUAUAUGAUGACAGAAAUAUUAUUGAACAGGGAAGAAAUGACCUGGAGAAAAUGAGGUCUGAAAUAUUGUUACAAAGAAAGCAAAUAGAAGAAGAGAGAUCAAACCUUGACAACAAAAUAAAACAGACUGAUCUAGAAAAAUGUGACAUUGAGAAGAGCAAAGAAAUUGUACAGAAGAUACUAGAUGAGGUAGAAGAACAGAGAAAUUAUAUUAAACUCCAUGAAGAAAAACAUGAACUUGAGAGACAAAAGAUCAAUGAUGAAAAAGAUCUUCAGGCUCAAAUAAAGACUAAACUGCAAAAAGAGAGUGAAGACAUCAGAUGCAUGGAAGAGGUAAUAAAGAAAGAGAGAGAAACGCUGAAAGAAAUGGAAGCUCUUUUACAAAAGGAAAAGGAAGAACUUGAUAGUGUCACUGAAGAAACGACUAGACGAAAAGAAAAUCUGGAAAUGAUGAGCACAAAUAUAAAUGAACAAAACCAAGAGCUGAGAAAAUACAGAGAGGUUCUAGAGCAAGAGAAAGAUGAAAUACACAAUAAAUGGAUACAGUUACAGCAGAGAAUUGAUGAAUUUGAAACUCAAGUUAGACAACAGAAGGAAAAUGAUUUAAUAAAACAGGAGGAGAUGGAAGAAGAAAGAAAAAGUCUAAAACUGACCAAAGUCAAGAUCCUGGAGUUGAAGACUAAAGCUGAGCAGGAACAACAAGACAUAAGCCUAAAAAUACAAGAGUUGAACACACUGCAAGAACAUAUAAUGAAAGAAAAAGUGAAAGAAGAAGAAAUGAGAGUAAAAGCAAAGAUAGAGAGAGAACAACUCGAUCAGAUAAUAAGGGAACUGGAACGAGAGAAAACUGAAAUGGACAAUGAUAAGAAGAUGAUUGAACAGGAAAGAAAAGACCUGCAAAAGAUAAGGUCUGACAUCAUGACAGAAAGAAAGCAAAUGGAAGACAUGAGAGAAGCAAUCAAACUAGAGAGAUCAGCACUUGUCCAGAAAAUACAAGAUAUUGAUCUAGAAAAGGAUGAAAUUGGAAAGAACAAAGAAAUAGUUCAGAAAUUAAUGGAUAAAGUAGAAGAGCAGAGAAAUUAUAUGAAACUCCAGAAAGAAGAACUUGACCUCGAAAGACAAAAGAUCACUGAUGAAAUUGGAAAGAACAAAGAAAUAGUUCAGAAAUUAAUGGAUAAAGUAGAAGAGCAGAGAAAUUAUAUGAAACUCCAGAAAGAAGAACUUGACCUCGAAAGACAAAAGAUCACUGAUGAAAAAUUAAUUCUAGCUCAAAGUAUGACAGAGCUGCAAAAACAAACUGAACAAAACAAAUACAUGGAGGAGGGAAUAAAGAAGGAGAGAGAAACACUGAAGGAAAUGGAAGCUCGCCUACAAAAGGAAAAGGAAGACAUUGAGAGUGUCACUGAAGAAACAAAGAGACAGAAAGAGGAUCUGGAUAAACAAAAACAAGAGAUGAAGAACAGCAGAGACCUUCUAGAACAAGAAAGAGAAGAAAUAAAGCAUAAAUGGACAGAGUUACAACAGAGAAUUGAUGAAUUUGAUACUCAAGCCAGGCAACAGAAGGAACAAGAUUUCAUGAAACAGAAUGAGAUGGAAGAAGAAAGAAAAGGUCUAGAACAGACCAAAGUCAAGAUCCUGGAGCUGAAGACUAAAGCUGAGCAGGAACAACAAGACAUAAGCCAACAAUUACAAGAGUUGAACACACUGCAAGAACAUAUUAUGAAAGAAAAAGUGAAAGAAGAAGAAAUGAGAGUAAAAGCAAAGAUAGAGAGAGAACAACUUGAUCAGAUAAUAAGGGAACUGGAACGAGAGAAAACUGAAAUGGACAAUGAUAAGAAGAUGUUUGAACAGGAAAGAAAAGACCUCCAAAAGAUAAGGUCUGACAUCAUGACAGAAAGAAAGCAAAUGGAAGACAUGAGAGAAGCAAUCAAACUAGAGAGAUCAGCACUUGUCCAGAAAAUACAAGAUAUUGAUCUAGAAAAGGAUGAAAUUGGAAAGAACAAAGUAAUAGUUCAGAAAUUAAUGGAUAAAGUAGAAGAGCAGAGAAAUUAUAUGAAACUCCAGAGAGAAGAACUUGACCUCGAAAGACAAAAGAUCACUGAUGAAAAAUUAAUUCUAGCUCAAAGUAAGGCAGAACUGCAAAAUGAAAGCGAACAAAUCAAAUACAUGGAGGAGGGAAUAAAGAAGGAGAGAGAAACACUGAAGGAAAUGGAAGCUCGCCUACAAAAGGAAAAGGAAGACAUAGAGAGUGUCACUGAAGAAACAAAGAGACAGAAAGAAGAUCUGGAUAAACAAAAACAAGAGAUGAAGAACAGCAGAGACCUUCUAGAACAAGAAAGAGAAGAAAUAAACCAUAAAUGGACAGUGUUACAACUGAGAAUGAAUGCAUUUGAUGCUCAAGUCAGCAAACAGAAGGAAGAAUAUCUAACAGAACAAAAGGAAAUAGAAGAAGAAAGAAAAGGUCUAGAAGAGACCAAAGUCAAGAUUCAAAAGCUGAAAACUAAAGCUGAGCAGGAACAUCAAGACAUAUGCCUAAAAAUGCAAGAGUUGUGCACACUGCAAGAACAUAUUAAGAAAGAACAAGAGAAAGAAGAAGAAAGGAUGGUAAAAGAAAAGAUGGAGAGAGAAGAAUUUGGUCAGAUAAAGAGUGAACUGGAAAGAGAGAAAACUAAAAUAGAUCAUGAGCAGAAGAAAAUUAAUGAUGCCAAAAAGAUCAUUGAACAGAAAAGAAAUGACCUUGAGAAGAUGUGGUCUGAAGUAAUGUUACAAAGAAAACAAAUAGAAGAAGAGAGAUCAGAACUUGACAACAAAAUAAAACAGACAGAUCUAGAAAAAUCUAAUAUUGAGAAAAGCAAAGAAAAUGUACAGAAAUUAUUGAAUGAGGAGGAAGAAAAGAGAAAUAAUAUUAAACUUCAUGAAGAAGAAAUUGAACUUGAGAGACAAAAGAUCAAUGAUGAAAAAGAUUUUCUGUCUCAAAUAAAGACAGAACUGCAAAAAGAAAGUGAACGAGUGCAAUACAUGGAAGAGGAAAUUAAUAAGGAGAGACAAACAAUGAAAGAAAAGGAAGCUCAUCUACAAAAGGAAAAGGAAGAAAUUGAGAGUGUCACUGAAAGAACAAACAGACAAAAAGAAGAUCUGGAAAGGAUGAACACAGAUAUAAAUAAACAAAAACAAGAGUUAAAGAACUGCAGAGACCUUCUAGAAAAAGAAAGAGAAGAAAUGAAUCAUAAAUUGACAGAAUUACAACAGAGAAUUUAUGAAUAUGAACAGUCAAAGACUGAGUCUAUGAGGAAUGUUCUGGAGGACACCAGAAAGAAAGAUGAAAAAACAGAAAUGGAAGAAAAACUUAAACAGGCUAAUAAGGAAUAUGAAAGAGUCAUAGAAGAAACAAACAGGAGAAGGGGUGAAUUAGAGAAAAUCAUGUUUGAUAUAUCACAACAAAAUCAAAAGUUUGAGACAGAGAAAGAUCUUCUGGAAAAAGAUAGAAAUAACAUUGAAAAGGAAAGAGAAGAUUUGCAAAGAAGGGCUGAUGACCUAGAGAAGCACAUGACAGAACAAAAAGAAAAAGAAGAGAUGAGUAAAAGAUCAAUGGAUGAAGAGAAGAAGCUUCUUGAGCACAAGGCUGGUGAAAUCUUGAGACAGAGAAAUGAAUUAGAGAAAGAAAAAGACGACAAGAUGAAGAAGUGGAAUGAGCUGGAUGUUCUCCAGAAGAAAUUGCAAAAACAAAGAGACGAAAUUGAAGAAAUCAAAAAUGACUUACAGACUGAAAAGGCUGAAAUUAAUCAACAGCAGCAAAGACUGGAGGAGAGUAUAAGAGUUGUGAAUGAGGAGAGAAGAGAUCUGGAGAACAUGAGAAAUGAUUUUGAAAAAUACAGACAACAAAUGGAAGAAGAAAUGAGAGUAAAAGCAAAGAUGGAGAGAGAGGAACUUGAUCAACUGAUGGCCAAGAUAUUGAUAGAACAAAAAGAAACUGAUAGGAGCAAGGAUAUGAUAGACCAUCUAAAGAAGGAAAUGGAGCAAACAAAAGCCGAACUCAAUGCUCAAGAAGAGCAAAUCAAACUGGAAUUGCAAAUAGUGCAAGAUGAGAGGCAAGAUCUGGAACAGUCCAAGGCUGAAAUCAAGAGACAGACUGAUAAAACAGAGAUCAUGAAAGAGCAGACACAACAGUUAGAAAAAGAGAAAGAUGUGUCUGAAACAUUAAAAGAAGAACAUCUAUCUGGACAGCUUCUUCAACAGAAGAGAGAAGAAAUGGCCUCUCAAGGAAAACAGAUACAGAUAGAUGAAGCCAACAGACUCUUGUCCGAGAUUCAAAGGGAAAGGGAAGCACUUGAAAGAAACAAAAAAAUCCUUGAACAUCAGAGAGAGGCACUGGACGAGAUGAAGAGAAAACAACCAACACAGAGGCUGGAAUUAAUUUUGGUUAGUUCUGCUACACAAACAUCUGAUCUAGACAACAUUCCUGUAGGUAACAUUUCAGCCCCUCAGGAACAGAUUGUUGAGGAACACACAGGCAUUCAUAAGGAAUAUACAACUUUCAUGACAAAAGGGAUGGAAGACGAAUUAGAGAUGAUGAGAGAUCAGGAGGACACAGAGCUCAAAAUGAGAAGUGAAGAAACCAAAAUGGACUCGAGCCAAGAAGACACUGCACUGGCAAAAGAAUAUAAAGAUAUACCUGAUCCAUCCAUGACAGUAAAGUUGGAGUUCAAUAAAGAUGAAGUCGAUGGCCUUACUGAAAUGUUGAUGACGGAGAAAAGGGAACUAGAAAAGACAAGACUUGUUUUACAGAGAGACCAGAAAGAGAUUGAGACAAUGAGACAACACACUGACAGAGAGAGGAAGAAGCUGGAGAAACAAUAUGAAGAGAUGGAGUUAUGCAGACAGAAUAUGGAAAAUGAAAGAUCUGAGUUAGAAAUGACUCAAGAUCAAAUUAAGAUGGACAUGGAAAAAAUUCUAAUGGAGAUCAAGAGCAAACAGGAGAAAAUAGAAAACAUGGAAUUUCAACUACAAAAAAAGAAGAGAGAAAUGGAAACCAUCUCUGCUGAGAUGAAACAGAGACAAGAGGAGUUGGACUUCAUAAAUACAGAGCUAAAACGAAAGAGACAAGAGAUGGUGGACACCAAAGAAAUGGAGGAACACGAGUUAACUGAAAUACUUCCAGAGAGAGAGGAGUAUAUAAAAAGACACCUGGAGGAAAUACAGAACCAAAAGGAAGCAUUAAGAAAGGAGAGGGAUGAAGUUGAAAAAAUACUCACUGGGCUGCAGAAGGAGCAAAUGGAAAUGGAGAUGCGUCAGGCAAUGCUGAACUCAGAAAGAAAUGAACUGAAUAGAAUGAGAAUCGAUCUGGAGACACAUAAAGAGGAGUUUAGGCUUAUGAAACAAAACACAGAGACAGAAAGAGACAAGCUGGAAUCAAGGUUAAGGAGAGCAGAGGACAUAGAAAGACUUUUGGAUGAUGUACUGAAAGAAAAGAAAAGGGUAGAAGAAAUGGCAGCUCAACUUUUCAAAGAACAGGAAGAGUUUAAAAUUAUUAUGACUGAGGCGAAUAAAAGGAUAAACAAGAUUAAACAGAUUGAGGAGGAAAUGAAAACAAAGCAAGAAGAAAUGGAGCACACUGAAGAACUGAGACAAAAAGAGCUUCAUCAAAGGAGAGCAGAAUUUGAAAAAAUGAAGACUGAAAUUGACAAUGAAAGAGAAGAAAUUCAGAAGAUACAAAGGGAAUGUGAGAGAGAAAAACAUGAACUGGAGCAAAUAAAAACAGAUUUGCAGAAAGAGGAACCACAGAAAACCAAUGCAGAAGUGCAAUAUGAUGAAACUCACAGUGUUAUGCACACAUUAAAAGAAGAGAAAGAUGAAAUAGAAAGGAUGAAAGCCGACCUCCAGAAUGAGCAGAGAGAAAUUGAAAACACGAUGGACAUUAUAACAAGAGAGAAGGGUGAGCUGGAAAAGAAGAAAGCUGAAAUGCAGCAAAUGGCUGCAGAAAUAAGGGACACGGACAGUGAUAAGAACUUACAAGAUAAAAUUAUCCAGAUUGAAGCAAUCCUCAAUGAAACCAAGAGACAGAAGGAUGACCUGGAACAGAUGAAUGACAAUUUGAACAGAGAAAAAUCAGAAUUGAAAAGCACUUGUCAGUUUCUAGAAAAAGAAAAGAGAGAAGCAGAAAUGAGAUUACAGGACAUGGUGAAUGAACUGAAUAUUAAGCUUAAGGAAUUAGAAAAUCUACAGUUCAAAACAGAGGAGAGAGAGGCAGAGAAGAAAAAUCUGGAGAAAUUUAAGGAUGAGAUGGCUAAAGAACGUGAAAAAAUUAAAAAGGAAAAUGAAGAUUUAAGAAUGAGAAGAGAAGAGCUGCUGCACAUGAAAGAACAAAUUCAAAAGCAGACAAAAGACCUAGAAGAAAUGAUGAAUGAAGUGACAAUGGAGAAGAGUGAGCUAGAACAAGAGAGGUGUGAAAUAAACAAACACAAACAACAAGUGGAAGACAUUGGGAAAGCUGCAGAAAUAAAGUGGGUUGAGACACAGGUAGCCACUGAAAGGUCCAGACAAGAUGACGAGGACAUGCAAAUCUUAAAAACUGAGAGAAAAAGACUAGCACAUCUGAAUGAUCAAUUACUGAAAGAGAAAGAGGACGUUGAAACCACCAAAGAGAGAAUUAAUAGAGAGAUGGAACAUAUUGAAAAGAUGCAAACCCAAUUAAAUGACCAAAAAGAAGAGAUCAACCUUGAAAAACAAAAAAUAGAAGACAAAAGGACUGAGAUUCAAGACGAGACAAAUGCUCUAGAGAAAAUUAUGAAGGACUUACAAAAAGAGAGGGAAAAUCUAAAUGCUUUAGUUACUCAACAACAAAAAGAAAGAGAAGAUAUGGAUAAACUAGCAGAGGAAAACAAAAGAAGAGAGAAGCAUGCUGAAGUUGAGAGACAGAGACAGUUAGAAGACAUAGAACAUGUCAAGGUGAGGUUGGCAAAAGAAAGGAAUCAAAUUGAACAGAUGAAUGCAGAAAUACAGACUAAACAUGAAGAGCUAGAGAAAAUAAUCAGAAAACAGCAAGAGGAUUUUGAAAUCAAAGAGAAUGACAUGCAAAGAGAAAGAAAGGCUUUGGAGAAAAUGAAUGUUGAGCUAGAAAGGAAAACCACUGAAAUGGAAAAUAAGAGAGAGAAAGUAACUCUAUGGGAAGCAGAUAUACAGAAACAGAAAACCAAAGUAGAAGAGCUAAGGAAUAUCUUAGAAAGAGAGAAAAUUGAACUUGACAGAGAGAAAGCAGAAGUAAAACAAGAAAAGCAAGAGAUGGAAAACAUUCUGAAAACCAUCAAGAGUGAGUUGGAAGACCUACAGCAAUUGAGAAGUAAAUCUGAGGAAGAGAAGAAAGAUAUGCUGGACAGACUGUUAACAGAAAAACAUGAAAUGGAUCAAUUAAAAACCGAGUUACAGUUGGAGAAGAAGAGCAUUGAAGAGGAAAAGAAAAUGCUGAAGCAGUUAAUGAACGAAACUGAAAAUAAAAAAUCUCAACUGGACAGCAACAUUGUGCAAAUGAACAAUGACAAACAAAAUAUUCAAAAAGAAAAAGACUUGCUGGAGGAGAUAAAGGCAGAUUUACAAAGAAAGUCUGAAAAGCUUAAUGAGGAAAUCAGGAAAACCGACCGAAUCACCUCUCAAACCAGUAAAGACCAAGAGAACAUUCCGAAGAGACUGGAUGACAUGAGAAGAAAAGAAGAAGAGCUCAGUACUAUGCGUGCCGACAUCGAAAGGCAGACAAAGCUUCUGCAAUCAGAUCUACUGCAACUUCAGACACAGAAAGAGAACUUAGAAAAGAGCAAAGCAGAGAAUGAGACUCUAAGAGAAGAUCUCGAAAAGCAAAAAGAAAAAAAUGACUUGACAAUGCAAGACCUUCACAAAGAGAGGCUGACAUUGGAGCAGAAGAUUACUGAUAUAACACAGCUAAGAGAGACAGUGGAAAGCACACAGAAUGAAAUACGACUUAAAGAACAGGAUCUGGAAAACAAAGAAAAAGAACUUGACAUGCAAAGAAAAGAUGUAGAUAACUUAAGAAACAUUGUGAUAGCUGAGAAAAUGCAGCUGGAAAAGAGGCAAAUUGUUAUGAAUCAACAGCAGCAAGAGGUAGAUGGCUUGAUGAAUGAAAACAGAAAAGUGAGAAAUGAUUUAGAGAGCAUGAAAACUCAUCUAGAACAAGACAGACGACAACUACAAGAAAAAAUCAAAACAUUUGAAGAUCAGAAGAAUGUUUUUGAUCAAAUCAAAGUUGAUGCAAAGCAACAGACCGAUGAGCUUGAGAAAAUCACAGCAGAUCCUCUUGGAAAGGAAAGAGAGGAGACUGAUGCUUUGAAGAAAGAAAUCCAGAGAAAGAAAGAUGAACUGCAAAGCUUAAAUUUUGAAAUUGAAAGGUCCAAGCAAGAAAUGGCAGAAAACAGAGAACAGUUUGAAAAAGAGAUGGAAAAUUUAACUCAGAAAAGAGCAGAUUUACUGACAGAAAUUGAUCAGCAAGCCAAGACCCAAAUAAAGAAGAAAGAUGUAAAAACAGCAGUGGAGAGUGAAACACAGAUCCAAGCUGCUUUACAAAAGGUCAAGGAGGACACUGAAGAAGAAAAGACAGAUGCUGAAUUGCAGGCUGAUCUCCAGAAACAGAUGGAUGAACUAGAAGAACUGAGGAACACAAUUGAGGUGGAAAAAAAUCAGAUCGAAAAGAAAAAGCUCACAUUAGAUCAACAGCAGCAGGAAUUAGAAGACAUCAUGGUGGUCAUCAAACGAGAGAGAGAUGUGCUUCAGAAAGAGAAGUCUGAACUUGAUGAACACAGACAUAUGCUCAAUAAAAAUAUCCAGACAAAACAAGAAGAGCUUGAAAAGCUUAAUAAUGACAUUCAAAGGGACAAAAAGGAGAUUGAAAACAGCAAAAAGAUAAAUGAAAGUGAAAAAUAUUGUAUCGAAAAGGAGAGAGCUGAUUUAAACAGACUGAAGAAAGAGGCUGAAGACAGCAAACAAAGCAUACAACAUGAGAGAACUUUGCUGCAACAAGAUAAAGACAUGAUGCAGAAAGAAAAAGAAGACAUGGAAGGCAUUAUAGAAGAAAAGACAAGAACAAUGGAGGACCUGCAAAAGCAAAUAAACAGACAAUUAUCUGAACUGGAGAUGUUAAACAUGGAGAUUCAAAUAAAGAGACAGAAAGUAGAAAUGCAUCGCUUACCAGAAGAGAUGAAAACAAAAGAUCACUCAAAGAGGGAUGCUGAUGUCCUAAGAGAGGAUGUAGAAGUAAAGAAACAAAAAACAGAUGAACUUGAGAUAUAUCAGAUGAAGACCACCUCAGUAGAUGCUGAAACACAAACAUCUUUGGAUGACUUUAAGAAAACAGAUGAUGGUAGACAAAAGGAAUUAGAAGACGAAACGGCUGCAACAAAGAAAAAACAACCCACUGUGGCCAAGUUAAAAGACACGCACCCAUCUGAAGUGCAAGAAAUAAUGGACUCUUUAAACAAAGAAAUUGAAGAUUUGGAGAGAAUGAAGACAAUGAUGAAAAAAGAGAGACAUGAACUGGAACAAGCAAAAAAAGACUUUGAGAGAAAUAUGAAGGAAGUCAUGAAGGAGAAGUCAAGAAAUGAAGAAAAACUGCUACAACUUACACAAGACAAGGAGGAUUUAUCAAACAACCUUGAGAAGAAAAAUAAGGAAAUAGAGAGCAUCACAGAAGCAUUCGUGAUAAAGUUGGGACAACUGGAAGAGACUAUAGGGUCACUGAAAGAAGAGAAGGAAAACAUUGAAAAUGAGUUGCUUCAACAAAAGCAAAAUGAACAGGAGACACUAAAAAUCAAGGGAAAAACAGAUGAUACUUCCAUUAAAAGUGACAGGGAUGCUGAGAAAGUCACAUACAAAAUAGCAUUGGAACAAGUACAAGACACUAAAGAGGAGAAAAAGACAGACAGAGACAGCAGUCUGGAACUGACUGAGAUUCACUGGGCCAAAACAGAUGGAGAAACAAAAGCAAAAAUCUACAAAACUGACACCCAAAGAGAAGUUCUUCAGCUAAUGGAUGGUACAACCCUAGAACGAGAUGAGCUAAACAUCAUGAGAGCUGAACUACAGAGGCAACAUGACGAAAUGGAGAAUAAAAUGAAGAUCAUACAAACUGGCCUUCUUGAGAUGGAGAAGGCAAAGGAUCACCUGCAUAAAUUGAGGGAUGAAUGUAAAACCGCUGAAGAAGAAAAGUCAGGGAUCAUGGAGAGUCUCGAGAGGAGGAGGAACAGCCUGGAGAAGGUUCAAGCUGAGAUACUGAGACUUACCAAGGAGAUUGAUCAUCUCACACAAAGCUAUGAAUGCAAAAGAAGAGAACUGCAACAAAUUGAGACUGACAUACAAAGACAGACAAGGACUGAGGAGACUCAACAGGAAACUAAUAUUCAGAGUGAACAAGAAGAUCAAGAAGUAAUAGCAACUACAAAAUCCAUUCAAGAACAUACAGAGGAUGUUAAGCAGAAGAGAACUCAAGAGACACAAACUGAAGACCAGGAAAGAGAUGCUCUACCACAGUAUGAAGAGAUAGAUGCAAUGAAAAGGAGAAUACAGGAAAUGAAAGAUGAACUAAAGAACAGAUUACAAGACAUACAGAGGAAGGAACUGGAAAGACUGGGAAUGCAAAGAGAACAAAUCGAGUUGGAGCUACGGAAAGCUGAAAUGGAAAGAUAUAAUGAAGCCCUCCAGCAUGAGAGGGAAACUGACAGACUCAUGCUCAUAGAAAAGGAAAAGGAAAUACUUCUGUUAAGGGAGUGUAUGCUGAUUGAGAUCAAUCGACUGAAGAGCGAAGAAACAGAAACAAGUAGUCAGCACUUGGAGAUUAUGGAGCGCCUCAUUAGUGAUGCAGCUCUAAGAGUGGACAGAUUCAGACGGGUGACGGACAGAGCCGUGCAAACGCUGAUGCUGGAAGGAGAUGGAGAGCAGAUUGGAGGAGCUCAAAGAGUGACGACUGAACAGAUGGAAAUAGUCGGUGGAAGGAUGGAGAUUUCUGUGCAUGCCCUGAGUGAAGAGAGGGAGGAAGGAGCGAGAGGAGAAUCCCAGAGAGGAGGCAUAGUCGGGCCAACUUCACGGAGAUUGCGGCUACUGCACUGGAUCAGACGGUGCUGCAGUUGCUGCUGUCCCAGAGACACUGUGGAGGAAACUGAGGACAUUUUAUAAACACAGGUCUUGUUCAUUAAGAAGAGAAGCCUUUCCUAAACAAAUACAAUCCAUGCAUUAUCAGUAUUUUUAUGUAUAUAUUUAUAAGUAGCAUUAGGUGGGAGAAAACCACCCNAAAAAAAAAAAAAAAAAAAAAAAAAACAUGGAAUACUGGAUAACAUACCUAUUUAGUAAAAUAAUUACAGAUUAUUUGCAUAGUACCAAAUGUUUAAUGUUUAUCACAGUUUAUAUAGUCCAAUAAAUCAGUUUUGCAUUUUUAAAUCA